rnacentral:rRNA from 1 species
CACCCCACUAUUAUGUGCAUUAAGGAUAAUUAUAAUUGACCCCGUAACUUAGGGAUAAGGGGUGCUCUCGAAAGAGAGCCGCAGAGAAUAGGCCCAGGCGACUGUUUAGCAAAAACACAGCUCUAUGCUAAAUCGAAAGAUGAUGUAUAUGGGGUGACACCUGCCCGGUGCCGGAAGGUUAAGAGGAGGAGUGAGAGCUCUGAAUUGAAGCCCCGGUAAACGGCGGCCGUAACAAUAACGGUCCUAAGGUAGCGAAAUUCCUUGUCAGGUAAGUUCUGACCCGCACGAAUGGUGUAACGAUCUGGGCACUGUCUCAACUACCCGCCCGGCGAAAUUGUAGUACCGGUGAAGAUGCCGGUUACCCGCGACUAGACGGAAAGACCCCAUGGAGCUUUACUGUAGCUUAAUGUUGAAUUUCGGUAUUUCAUGUACAGGAUAGGUGGGAGACUAAGAAGCAGGGGCGUCAGCUUCUGUGGAGUCAACCUUGGGAUACCACUCUUGAAGUGCUGGAAUUCUAACCUGCGGCCGUGAAUCCGGUCGGGGGACAUCGUUAGGUGGGCAGUUUGACUGGGGCGGUCGCCUCCCAAAGUGUAACGGAGGCGCUCAAAGGUUCGCUCAGCAUGGACGGAAACCAUGCUCUUGAGUGUAAACGCAAAAGCGAGCCUAACUGCGAGACUGACGGGUCGAGCAGUAACGAAAGUUGGAGUUAGUGAUCCGGCGGUAUGUGAGUGGAAAUGCCGUCGCUCAACGGAUAAAAGCUACCCUGGGGAUAACAGGCUGAUCUCCCCCAAGAGUCCACAUCGACGGGGAGGUUUGGCACCUCGAUGUCGGCUCAUCGCAUCCUGGGGCUGUAUUCGGUCCCAAGGGUUUGGCUGUUCGCCAAUUAAAGCGGUACGCGAGCUGGGUUCAGAACGUCGUGAGACAGUUCGGUCCCUAUCUGUCGUGGGCGUAGGAUAUUUGAAAGGAGCUGUCCCUAGUACGAGAGGACCGGGAUGGACGCACCUCUGGUGCACCAGUUGUCACGCCAGUGGCACAGCUGGGCAGCUAAGUGCGGAUCGGAUAAACGCUGAAGGCAUCUAAGCGUGAAGCCGUCCUUAAGAUAAGAUAUCCCAUCAGGUCAACUGAGCAAGACCCCUCAAAGACUAUGAGGUUGAUAGGCCUAAGGUGUACGCAUGGUGACAUGUUCAGCCUGCAGGUACUAAUCGGUCGAGGGCUUGACC